UUUUCCUGAACACCGAUCCAACUCCUGACCUCCCCGAACUCCUGCCCCUCGUGCGUAGCCGAAGACGGCGUCCCUCCAGCGCCACCCCCUCGCCGAGACCUGACCCCCGUGCCGCUGCCUCUGCCCGACCAGGCGCCGCCACGGAGGUCCCAGCGGGAGCCGUCUCCCCACCAUCAUGGCUGAUGCGUGUACACCCCAAAUUCCACGCUUCCUCGAGCAGUUCCACGUCAUCCGAUUCUUCUCCCCGGGAGGACCCCCAAAUCCCCGAUUCACUUUUCCCCGUGCGGACGCGAGGCACCGGUUCCAACCCCCAUCUUCUCAGAGCAGCGGCG
rnacentral:lncRNA from 1 species